AUUAAUAACCGAGGUCGUGUACCUCAAAAUUUAAA
ncrna:unclassified sequences S16-Flavobacteria ribosomal protein leader